CCUACGGGUGGCAGCAGUGAGGAAUAUUGGUCAAUGGCCGGAAGGCUGAACCAGCCAUGCCGCGUGAAGGUCAGUGCCCUAUGGGCGUUAAACUACUUUUGUGCGGGAGCAAUAAUGGUCACGUGUGGCCAGACGAGAGUACCGUACGAAUAAGCAUCGGCACACUCCGUGCCAGCGGCCGCGGUAGUACGGGGGGUGCAAGCGUUAACCGGAUUUGUUGGGUUUAAAGGGUGCGUAAGCGGUGUUGUAAGUCAGCGUGGGAAUGCCCCGGCUCAACGGGGUGAAGUGCCUUUGAUACUGGCUGGCUGGAGUGCGGAUGCGGUGGGAAGAAUGUGUGGUGUAGCGGUGAAAUGCAUAGAUAUCACACAGAAUACCGAUUGCGAAGGCAUCUCCCGGAUCCGCGAUUGACGCUGAUGUACGAAAGCGUGGGUAUCAAACAGGAUUAGAUACCCGAGUAGUC
rnacentral:rRNA from 1 species